AUCACUUUGCAAGUCCCGACAACACAGAGUGACUCACGGAGAGACAAGACAUCGCAAAAAGCUGAUCAACUGGAUACAUUUAAAACAGGAGGCUACACAGCUGCUGGACACAGGAAAGGUCAAGCCAUGACAUCACAGAGAAAGUCCCGACAACACAGAGUGACUCGCGGAGAGACAAGACAUCGCAAAAAGCUGAUCAAUUGGAUACAUUUAAAACAGGAGGCUACACAGCUGCUGGACACAGGAAAGGUCAAGCCAUGACAUCACAGAGCAAGUCCCGACAACACAGAGUGACUCACGGAGAGACAAAGACAUCGCAAAAAGCUGAUAAACUGGAUACAUUUAAAACAGGAGGCUACACAGCUGCUGGACACAGGAAAGGUCAAGCCAUGACAUCACAGAGCAAGUCCCGACAACACAGAGUGACUCACGGAGAGACAAG